ensembl:misc_RNA Metazoa_SRP Metazoan signal recognition particle RNA
GCCAGGCAUGGUGACUCAUGCCUGUAAUCCCAGCACUUUGGGAGGCUGAGGCAGGUGGAUUACUUGAGCCCAGGAGUUCAAGACCAGCCUGGGCAACAUAGUGAGACCCUGUCUCUA